rnacentral:lncRNA from 1 species
AAUAAAAGAUUGUAAAUAAAAUGUAUAUUUCAUUUCAGUAGCAUAUCACAUCAAAUACAAUACAUCAUCCACUGACUCCACACAUUAAGGUUCAACGCCUAAUAAAGACACAUCAAAAUAAUUUUACAUGUGCACAACAGAAUACUUCUGCAAGUGCAAGUGCACAGAAAAAGGUUCCAACAAAUGCACAAUCGCACAUAAAGAGAGUUCCACAAAGAUUGGAUGAGAACCACCAGUUUCUUCUCAUCCUCUUCCUCUG